UUUAUUAUCCAGAAUAAUCAGCUGUUGUACGAGAAAAGGUUUAAGCGUAACCUCACAGUUCUGAUGGAAGAUCUGCAGCUGUGUUCAGUCCAAUGCUGUGAGGACGUCAGGCGCCGCUUCUGUUUUCAGGUGGUUUCACCAACAAAGAGUCGUACGUUUCAGGCCGAUUCAGAGGCGAGCAGACAGGCUUG